AAAAAAUUAAUUAAAAUAAAAUAAUACUAAUAAAUCUUUAAUUAAAUUCCAAAAGAAGUUUCAAGAAAUUAUAAAAGAAACAUAAAGAAAUCAUAAAUUAAUCUUAAAAAUGUAUAUAUAAUAAAAAAAUCUUAAAAAAUUAUCAAAAAUAUAAAUUCAAUUAAAUCCUAAUUAAAUAUUAAUAUAACCUUUAUCAAAAUCUUAAAAAAAUCCUAAACCAAUUCUAACCAAAUCUCCAUCUAAAUCCUAAUAAAAUUCUACAUUAAUCUUAAUCAAGCCCUAAAUAAAUCCUAAAUCUUAGUUAACUCUUACACCAAACUAUAAUCAAAUCUUAAAUCUUAAUAAAAUCUUACACCAAAUCCUCAUUAAACCU
rnacentral:lncRNA from 1 species